CCCAGCACACAACCAAAGAAAAGCACCCCCUAGAUUUUAUAGACGAGGCAUUCCUUGCAACAAACAGAAUAAACAUUAAGCAUGGAACCAAGACAUAGCAUGUGAGCAUGAAGAUAAGGGCACGUAAUAAUUAGACUCACAAGCUACUAAUAAAAUGGAAAAUAAUGAGACAAAAGGAUAGAGGAGUGAUAGCAUAUGUCUCACACGAUAUGAUAAAGUACGACGUCUCUUGGUC
rnacentral:lncRNA from 1 species